rnacentral:rRNA from 1 species
GACGAACGCUGGCGGCGUGCUUAACACAUGCAAGUCGAACGGAAAGGCCCUGCUUUUGUGGGGUGCUCGAGUGGCGAACGGGUGAGUAACACGUGAGUAACCUGCCCUUGACUUUGGGAUAACUUCAGGAAACUGGGGCUAAUACCGGAUAGGAGCUCCUGCUGCAUGGUGGGGGUUGGAAAGUUUCGGCGGUUGGGGAUGGACUCGCGGCUUAUCAGCUUGUUGGUGGGGUAGUGGCUUACCAAGGCUUUGACGGGUAGCCGGCCUGAGAGGGUGACCGGCCACAUUGGGACUGAGAUACGGCCCAGACUCCUACGGGAGGCAGCAGUGGGGAAUAUUGCACAAUGGGCGGAAGCCUGAUGCAGCAACGCCGCGUGCGGGAUGACGGCCUUCGGGUUGUAAACCGCUUUCGCCUGUGACGGAGCGUGAGUGACGGUAAUGGGGAAAGAAGCACCGGCUAACUACGU